GCAGUUCGAGCGGUAGCACAGAGAGCUUGCUCUCGGGUGACGAGCGGCGGACGGGUGAGUAAUGUCUGGGAAACUGCCUGAUGGAGGGGGAUAACUACUGGAAACGGUAGCUAAUACCGCAUAACGUCGCAAGACCAAAGUGGGGGACCUUCGGGCCUCAUGCCAUCAGAUGUGCCCAGAUGGGAUUAGCUAGUAGGUGGGGUAACGGCUCACCUAGGCGACGAUCCCUAGCUGGUCUGAGAGGAUGACCAGCCACACUGGAACUGAGACACGGUCCAGACUCCUACGGGAGGCAGCAGUGGGGAAUAUUGCACAAUGGGCGCAAGCCUGAUGCAGCCAUGCCGCGUGUGUGAAGAAGGCCUUCGGGUUGUAAAGCACUUUCAGCGGGGAGGAAGGCGAUAAGGUUAAUAACCUUGUCGAUUGACGUUACCCGCAGAAGAAGCACCGGCUAACUCCGUGCCACAGCCGCGGUAAUACGGAGGGUGCAGCGUUAAUCGAAUUACGGGCGUAAGCGCACGCAGGCGGUCUGUCAGUCGGAUGUGAAAUCCCCGGCUAACCUGGGAACUGCUCCCAAGGGGCGAGUUAAGCGUGUCACCGAGUCGCAUUCCGCAGCGGCACUCCAUGCUAGACUUUUAGCAUAUGCUCACGAGGCUGCUCCUGUAUCUGCUCGACUCUA
rnacentral:rRNA from 1 species